rnacentral:rRNA from 1 species
UACAGAGGGUGCAAGCGUUAAUCGGAUUUACUGGGCGUAAAGGGUGCGUAGGUGGUUGUAUAAGUCGGAUGUGAAAGCCCGGGGCUUAACCUCGGAACUGCAUUCGAUACUGUAUGACUAGAGUUCGGUAGAGGGCGGCGGAAUUUCCGGUGUAGCGGUGAAAUGCGUAGAUAUCGGAAGGAACAUCAAUGGCGAAGGCAGCCGCCUGGGCCUGAACUGACACUGAGGCACGAAAGCGUGGGUAGCAAAC